rnacentral:tRNA from 1 species
CUGACGGUGGCUCAGUGGUUAGCACUAUUGCCUCACAGCAAGAAGGUCCUGGGUUUGAAUACCAGCUGUCCCA